AUCGAACGCUGGCGGCAUGCCUAACACAUGCAAGUCGAACGAGUGGCGGACGGGUGAGCAAUGUCUGGGAAACUGCCUGAUGGAGGGGGAUAACUACUGGAAACGGUAGCUAAUACCGCAUACCAUCGGAUGUGCCCAGAUGGGAUUAGCUAGUCGGUGGGGUAAUGGCUCACCUAGGCGACGCUCCCUAGCUGGUCUGAGAGGAUGACCAGCCACACUGGAACUGAGACACGGUCCAGACUCCUACGGGAGGCAGCAGUAGGGAAUAUUGCACAAUGGGCGCAAGCCUGAUGCAGCCACGCCGCGUGUGUGAAGAAGGCCUUCGGGUUGUAAAGUACUUUCAGCGGGGAGGCGUUACUCGCAGAGGAAGCACCGGCUAACUCCGUGCCAGCAGCCGCGGUAAUUC
rnacentral:rRNA from 1 species